rnacentral:rRNA from 1 species
GACGUAGGGCGCGAGCGUUGUCCGGAUUUAUUGGGCGUAAAGAGCUCGUAGGCGGCUUGUCGCGUCGACUGUGAAAACCCGCGGCUUAACUGCGGGACUGCAGUCGAUACGGGCAGGCUAGAGUUCGGUAGGGGAGACUGGAAUUCCUUGUGUAGCGGUGAAAUGCGCAGAUAUCAGGAGGAACACCGGUGGCGAAGGCGGGUCUCUGGGCCGACACUGACGCUGAGGAGCGAAAGCGUGGGGAGCGAACAGG